UAAGUCGUCCAGUUGGAAGACUUUCCAGACGACUUAAAUUACUUACAAGUCUUCCAGUCGCAGAAGGAGUUGGAGUACUCGUCAUUGCGGUUAUAGAUCUGAAAAAAUAAACGUGAAACGGUGAGAAUGAGUAAAUUGAUAGAGACAACGUUUUAUGUUCAUCUUUUCCUCGAGAUUGAUGACUUAGCGGCGUUAGGGUUUACAGAGAAACGGCGCUAAGGUUUACAGAGAAGAAGCGGCGGCGCUAAGGUUUACAGAGAAGAAGCGGCGGCGCUAGUGUUUAGAGGAAGCGGCGGUGAGAACGUUGGUGACCACGGUGGCGAGGGCGGCGGUUUGUUCGGAAAUAGUGGAAGCGGCGGCGCUAGGGUUUAGAGGAAUCGGCGGCG
rnacentral:lncRNA from 1 species